rnacentral:rRNA from 1 species
AUUGAACGCUGGCAGCAGGCCUAACACAUGCAAGUCGAACGGUAACAGGAAGAAGCUUGCUUCUUUGCUGACGAGUGGCGGACGGGUGAGUAAUGUCUGGGAAACUGCCUGAUGGAGGGGGAUAACUACUGGAAACGGUAGCUAAUACCGCAUAACGUCGCAAGACCAAAGAGGGGGACCUUCGGGCCUCUUGCCAUCGGAUGUGCCCAGAUGGGAUUAGCUAGUAGGUGGGGUAACGGCUCACCUAGGCGACGAUCCCUAGCUGGUCUGAGAGGAUGACCAGCCACACUGGAACUGAGACACGGUCCAGACUCCUACGGGAGGCAGCAGUGGGGAAUAUUGCACAAUGGGCGCAAGCCUGAUGCAGCCAUGCCGCGUGUAUGAAGAAGGCCUUCGGGUUGUAAAGUACUUUCAGCGGGGAGGAAGGGAGUAAAGUUAAUACCUUUACUCAUUGACGUUACCCGCAGAAGAAGCACCGGCUAACUCCGUG